rnacentral:siRNA from 1 species
AGGUUAUUGGUGAUCAAUUGGUA